rnacentral:rRNA from 1 species
GACGAACGCUGGCGGCGUGCCUAACACAUGCAAGUCGAGCGAGAGACUUCGGUCUCUAGCGGCGGACGGGUGAGUAACACGUGGGUAACCUGCCUCAUAGAGGGGGAUAGCCUCCCGAAAGGGAGAUUAAUACCGCAUAAUAUGUAUUGAUUGCAUGAUCAAGACAUUAAAGGAGAAAUCCGCUAUGAGAUGGACCCGCGGAACAUUAGCUAGUUGGAGAGGUAACGGCUCACCAAGGCGACGAUGCGUAGCCGACCUGAUAGGGUGAUCGGCCACAGUGCAACAGAGAAACGGUCCAGACUCCUACGGGAGGCAGCAGUGGCGAAUAUUGCACAAUGGGUUAAACCCUGAUGCAGCAACGCCGCGUGAGUGAAAAAGGCCUUCGGGUUGUAAAGCUCUGUCAUUGGGGACGAUAAUGACGGUACCCAAUGAGGAAGCCACGGCUAACUACGUGCCAGCCGCCGCAGUAAUAC